rnacentral:rRNA from 1 species
AGUGACCGCUGGCGGUAGGCCUAGCACAUGCAAGUCGAACGGCAGCACAGUAAGAGCUUGCUCUUACGGGUGGCGAGUGGCGGACGGGUGAGGAAUACAUCGGAAUCUACUUUUUCGUGGGGGAUAACGUAGGGAAACUUACGCUAAUACCGCAUACGACCUACGGGUGAAAGCAGGGGAUCUUCGGACCUUGCGCGAUUGAAUGAGCCGAUGUCGGAUUAGCUAGUUGGCGGGGUAAAGGCCCACCAAGGCGACGAUCCGUAGCUGGUCUGAGAGGAUGAUCAGCCACACUGGAACUGAGACACGGUCCAGACUCCUACGGGAGGCAGCAGUGGGGAAUAUUGGACAAUGGGCGCAAGCCUGAUCCAGCCAUACCGCGUGGGUGAAGAAGGCCUUCGGGUUGUAAAGCCCUUUUGUUGGGAAAGAAAAGCAGCAGGUUAAUACCCCGCUGUUCUGACGGUACCCAAAGAAUAAGCACCGGCUAACUUCGUG